rnacentral:rRNA from 1 species
GAUGAACGCUAGCGGGAGGCCUAACACAUGCAAGCCGAGCGGUAUUUCUUCUUCGGGAGAGAGAGAGCGGCGUACGGGUGCGGAACACGUGUGCAACCUGCCUUUAUCUAGAGGAUAGCCUUUCGAAAGGAAGAUUAAUACUCUAUAAUAUAUUAAUUGGCAUCAAUUGAUAUUGAAAACUCCGGUGGAUAGAGAUGGGCACGCGCAAGAUUAGCUAGUUGGUGAGGUAACGGCCCACCAAGGCAAUGAUCUUUAGGGGGCCUGAGAGGGUGAUCCCCCACACUGGUACUGAGACACGGACCAGACUCCUACGGGAGGCAGCAGUGAGGAAUAUUGGUCAAUGGGUGCAAGCCUGAGCCAGCCAUCCCGCGUGAAGGAUUAAGGUCCUAUGGAUUGUAAACUUCUUUUGUAUAGGGAUAAACCUACCCUCGUGAGGGUAGCUGAAGGUACUAUACGAAUAAGCACCGGCUAACUCCGUGCCAGCAGCCGCGGAAGAC